AGAGUUUGAUCAUGGCUCAGGAUGAACGCUGGCGGCGUGCUUAACACAUGCAAGUCGAACGAACCUUCGGGUUAGUGGCGGACGGGUGAGUAACGCGUGGGAAUCUGCCCUCAGGAGGGGGAUAACGGCUGGAAACGGCCGCUAAUACCCCAUAUGCCGAGAGGUGAAAUGAAUUUCGCCUGAGGAUGAGCCCGCGUCUGAUUAGCUAGUUGGUGGGGUAAGAGCCUACCAAGGCGACGAUCAGUAGCUGGUCUGAGAGGAUGAUCAGCCACACUGGGACUGAGACACGGCCCAGACUCCUACGGGAGGCAGCAGUGGGGAAUUUUCCGCAAUGGGCGAAAGCCUGACGGAGCAACGCCGCGUGAGGGACGAAGGCCUCUGGGCUGUAAACCUCUUUUCUCAAGGAAGAAGAUCUGACGGUACUUGAGGAAUAAGCCACGGCUAAUUCCGUGCCAGCAGCCGCGGUAAUACGGGAGUGGCAAGCGUUAUCCGGAAUUAUUGGGCGUAAAGCGUCCGCAGGCGGCUUUGUAAGUCUGCUGUC
rnacentral:rRNA from 1 species